rnacentral:rRNA from 1 species
AUGGGAACGCGAAGAACCUUACCUAGACUUGACAUCUCCUGAAUAGUGUAGAGAUACAUGAAGCCCUUCGGGGCAGGAAGACAGGUGGUGCAUGGUUGUCGUCAGCUCGUGUCGUGAGAUGUUGGGUUAAGUCCCGCAACGAGCGCAACCCUUAUUACUAGUUGCUACCAUUAAGUUGAGCACUCUAGCGAGACUGCCCGGGUUAACCGGGAGGAAGGUGGGGAUGACGUCAAAUCAUCAUGCCCCUUAUGUCUAGGGCUACACACGUGCUACAAUGGCCGGUACAAAGAGACGCAAUACCGCGAGGUGGAGCCAAACUAUAAAACCGGUCUCAGUUCGGAUUGUAGGCUGAAACUCGCCUACAUGAAGCUGGAGUUGCUAGUAAUCGCGAAUCAGAAUGUCGCGGUGAAUACGUUCCCGGGUCUUGUACACAC